rnacentral:rRNA from 1 species
UUAAUUGAAGAGUUUGAUCAUGGCUCAGAUUGAACGCUGGCGGCAGGCCUAACACAUGCAAGUCGAGCGGUAACAGAAAGUAGCUUGCUACUUUGCUGACGAGCGGCGGACGGGUGAGUAAUGCUUGGGAACAUGCCUUGAGGUGGGGGACAACAGUUGGAAACGACUGCUAAUACCGCAUAAUGUCUACGGACCAAAGGGGGCUUCGGCUCUCGCCUUUAGAUUGGCCCAAGUGGGAUUAGCUAGUUGGUGAGGUAAUGGCUCACCAAGGCGACGAUCCCUAGCUGGUUUGAGAGGAUGAUCAGCCACACUGGGACUGAGACACGGCCCAGACUCCUACGGGAGGCAGCAGUGGGGAAUAUUGCACAAUGGGCGCAAGCCUGAUGCAGCCAUGCCGCGUGUGUGAAGAAGGCCUUCGGGUUGUAAAGCACUUUCAGUCAGGAGGAAAGGUUAACGGUUAAUACCCGUUAGCUGUGACGUUACUGACAGAAGAAGCACCGGCUAACUCCGUGCCAGCAGCCGCGGUAAUACGGAGGGUGCGAGCGUUAAUCGGAAUUACUGGGCGUAAAGCGUACGCAGGCGG